CGUGUAGGCGGCCAGGUAAGUCUGCUGUGAAAACUCGAGGCUUAACCUCGAGAUGUCGGCGGAAACUAUCUGGCUAGAGUCCGGAAGAGGAGAAUGGAAUUCCCGGUGUAGCGGUGAAAUGCGCAGAUAUCGGGAAGAACACCCGUGGCGAAGGCGGUUCUCUGGGACGGUACUGACGCUGAGACGCGAAAGCGUGGGGAGCGAACA
rnacentral:rRNA from 1 species